AUCAUUUCCCAGUCUAAUCAGCCAGCUGGAUGCAAUUAAAAUCCCAACUUUCUAUGCCGAAGCGUCACACCUGCUCAGUAGAUAACAGUUACAAAAAAAUCUUUCCUCUAUCUGCUCUCAUUUUCAAUUCACUCCUUAUUUGAAAUCUCUUCAAUCUAGGUUCCUUGGCCAUUCCUCUUCCAAAGCAACUUCAUUGCAGAUCGGCACAUCCCUUACCAGGGCCUCUGCUACACACGGACAUGAAGCAUUGGCAUGAAGGGUCAUUUUUUAGGCUUUAAUCUCUCCCCUCCAGUCUCGAAUGUCCAAAGCUGCAUCGAACUGUACUAUGUCCCUUGUUGUCUCCUCUCUUUGCCUCUGUGUUCUAGCAAUCCCCAAGCUCCAUAUAAUCCACAGAGCACAGCAAAACAUCUGACACUGUUCCUUAGUGCCUUUUUUGAAAACCCAAGGCAUUGUUGAAAGACAUGGAAGCUAUCCUCUUCCCCGGAGCAACAUCAAGGACAUCUCACAUUUGUGGUUAUUCAUUUGCAUCUGAGAUUGGCUAGUGUAGGGAUAUAGUUUCAGGAUAUCCACCAAAAUAGAAGUAGAAUUUUUUAUUGAAGUUGUAAAUUCCAUGGUUUUCUGUAGAAUUCUUUAGUAUCGGUCUUUAAUAAAUAGCUAUUAGGAUCUGAAUUAGUAUCUUGUAAUAGUUUAUAGGAGCUCCGUACUGUCAGAAGGUUCACCUUGGAAUCCACCAAUCCAUCCAAAUUGAGAUGGCAUUUCCUCUCCCAA